rnacentral:rRNA from 1 species
GAUGAACGCUAGCGGCAGGCCUAAUACAUGCAAGUCGAGGGGUAGAGGAGAGCUUGCUUUCCUUGAGACCGGCGCACGGGUGCGUAACGCGUAUGCAACCUACCUUUAUCAGGGGGAUAGCCCGAAGAAAUUCGGAUUAACACCGCAUAAAAUCACAGUAUCGCAUGGUACAAUGAUCAAAUAUUUAUAGGAUAAAGAUGGGCAUGCGUGUCAUUAGUUAGUUGGCGGGGUAACGGCCCACCAAGACCACGAUGACUAGGGGAUCUGAGAGGAUGACCCCCCACACUGGUACUGAGACACGGACCAGACUCCUACGGGAGGCAGCAGUAAGGAAUAUUGGUCAAUGGAGGCAACUCUGAACCAGCCAUGCCGCGUGCAGGAAGACGGCCCUCUGGGUUGUAAACUGCUUUUAUUCGGGAAUAAACCUACUUACGUGUAAGUAGCUGAAUGUACCGAAGGAAUAAGGAUCGGCUAACUCCGUGCCAGCAGCCGCGGUAAAA